GUAGGGAAUAUUGGGCAAUGGAGGCAACUCUGACCCAGCCAUGCCGCGUGCAGGAUGACGGCCCUCUGGGUUGUAAACUGCUUUUAUCUGGGAAGAAAAAGGCCAUGCGUGGCAAAUUGCCGGUACCAGAUGAAUAAGCACCGGCUAACUCCGUGCCAGCAGCCGCGGUAAUACGGAGGGUGCGAGCGUUGUCCGGAUUUAUUGGGUUUAAAGGGUGCGUAGGCGGCUGAUUAAGUCAGCGGUGAAAGACUUCGGCUUAACCGGAGCAGUGCCGUUGAUACUGGUUGGCUUGAGUGUCGGAGGGGUACAUGGAAUUGAUGGUGUAGCGGUGAAAUGCAUAGAUACCAUCAGGAACACCGAUAGCGAAGGCAUUGUACUGGCCGACAACUGACGCUGAUGCACGAAAGUGUGGGGAUCGAACAGGAUUAGAUACCCUUGUAGUCC
rnacentral:rRNA from 1 species